ensembl:lncRNA
UUGUCAUCUUUUACUCACCCUCAUGUCAUUUCAUGUAUGACUUUUUUCUUCUUUGGAGCACAAAAAUAUAUAUAUAUUGAACCCCAUUGACUUUGACUAUUGACUAUAUUGACCAAAAAAAAAAAAAAAAACUUUUUUUUUUUUUUAUAUCUUUGUGUGUUCCACAGAAAAAAAGAAAGUCAUACAGGUUUGAGUGAGCAAAUGAUGACCAUUUUAUUUAAUUUAUUUAUUUUUAUUCUAAUAAUUAAUUAUUUAUUUAUUAUUAUUUAUUUAUGUUUUAUUAUUAUUAUUAUUAUUUAUUUUGAGUUAACGUCCCUUUAAAAAAUAAGAUACAUGGAAAAUCAUUUUUCUGUCAUUUAUAAUCAGGCACGGAACACAGAAUGGUCUGUUGUGAACCUAGUAUACUUAAGAUGAAUAAGUGAACAUUUUUCUUUAACAUGUCCUUCCAUCUCUUUUCUCAGGCCUGCUUUCCCAGGGAAAGAUGAUGAAUUAAACACAGAAGAAUAAAAGAGCUACAGCUCGAAAAUCUCAACACAAACUGUUCCUACUGCGCUGUUACACGGCCUACUGUUCUACCACCUCAGAGACACAGCAAGAGAGAAAGAGGGCAAGAGAGGAGAGGAGGAAAGAGAUCCCGACAAGGACAUGCCGAUUCAGAUUCCACCCAAGAGAACAACGCUGAAAGAAAGAAUAGCGAACGAGAGAUUGGAUGACAGAGUUCCAGCAGAGAAAAUAAAUGAAGAAUUUAGGUAGAUUCAGGUGGAAGAUUAAGGAGGAAGAUAGUGUAAUGAGAUGGGGUGUAUCAGGAAGCUACAAACUUCAUUCCACAGAGUCAAGGAAACACAAACCAUUAGACAACACUGUCUUUCAGAAACCAGACAAUACCCUUUUCAUCAACGAACAACGUGUGUGUGCUGUGCGUGUGCACAUAUUUGCUGACAGUCACGCACGCCUCUGCAGAGUGCUGUAGUUUUGUCUCUCAUUUCUUUAACAAGCUGGAAAACACUUCAAGAGGAAUCAGACUCCAACACAUGCAAACCAGCUGCAACAGGUCAACACAAAUGAUCAGCAACAGGAUUUGAGCAUGUUGGAUCCUUUACCGAACAGAAUAAAGAUUUUCUGUUUAAAAAAUUAAGCCA